AACUUGUUGUUCAUCCUCUCGCCGCCGCCGUCGCCACUGCCUCACGGAGUGACUUCCGCUCCGCUGGGUCCCUCCGCCUAGGGCCCGGCCACUUCCGCUUGCGCGGGGCGCAGCGGAACGUCGGCGCGCGGGCCUGCUCGGGGGCGGGUAUCCCGGGACACCUGCCCAGGGCGGCUGCGCGGAGGCAGCCCGCCUUGGUGGCUGCCCGGCUGCCGGGAUCAACCGUGUCCUCGUUUCUGUUGCUGUCGGCCGCCCGCCUGCCCGGUGGCUCCAAGGUAGCACUCCCCGCCCCCGGGAGCGCGUCCUGACCCUGUCCCGCGGCGGGCUCUGGGCUCACACUGCUUGGGACAGAUCCCGACUCCGCCCCCGGUGGGGGCUGCGCGAUCCCGGACUGUCAGCCUCCCGAGGCUGUUUGCUCCUGGGUACUGGCGAUGCUGUGCUGUAGCACCUGCCUCUUCAGGUUGCCGUGUGGAUUGAACGAGAUCAUCAGUCAGGCGCUAGACACACAACCCUCACUUUUCUCAGGGCCAGUUGGCUCACAUGGCCUUGGAGGAUGCUUCCCAAGAGCACACGCAUGACCUCAGCAGCAGCAGAAAACAGCUGAGAAGACUCCGCGUGGCCAGCCGCAGUUGGUUGGCUCAAUCAUGGGGUGAGGGCAGGUAGGAGCGGGGGUCUCCAGGGAACGGCAGGGCGGGCACCUGGUUGUAGUGGGCCAUGAGGAAGAUGCCAGUGGUGCCACAGACGAAGAGUGAGAGCAUGGCCAGGAAGCAGACACGGUCCAGCACACGGCCCACCAGGAACCACUCCUCGUUCCCCUGAGGGUGGGAGGCAGGGUGUGGGGUGACCAGCGGUAACGCCAAGCCUGCCCUGGAUCCCUGUACCAUCCUUGGCCAUCCAGCAGGCCUCGGUUCUCUGUUUGCUUGGGCCCUUCUCACCUACUUCCACACCUCACCUCGCUCCUUCCACUUGGCCCUGAUGCCCCUCCCCAUCCCCACUCCCAACUCCACUUUUUCAAUCCCAUUGCACUACCAUGGCCACCCCACUCAUUCUGUCCGCAUUGCAGGACCACGUCCCUUGCCAGGUACUCCACCCCACACCCCGCCCCUGGACUGGCUUACACUGUCAAAGUGGCUCUGCUGGCGCCGGGCGCGGGCAAUGAGGUUGCAGGCUUCCACGCAGGCCUGGAUGGCUGGGGCGGCCUGCUUCAGGCUGCCACACCACUCCUGGCUCUGCCCUGGCUCCGGGCCUUUCUCUGACAGCCCUCCCCGUUUGGAGUCCCCGGGGAGGAGCGUCCCAGUGUUACGCUCCCCGCCUCACCUAGCUUCUCCAGUGCUGCCCUCACCAGCCCGUUGCGCUGCCGCUGCCGGAAGAGGAGUUCACUGCGGGGCAGGCAGAGGGCCGCCUCCUCCCCCGCUGUGACUGUCCACCCCGAGGAGGGGCCGUUCUGUAGCCGGGGCCGGGCGUCCUGCACAGCUGCCGGGGCCAGCGGGCGAACAUGCAUCCGCAACAGCUGGGGCAGGAGCUGCAGGAACACCUGGAGAGGGACGCCCUGGGUGGCUUAGUUCAGCAGCCAGCAGACCUGGGCGUUUGGGCAGCCAGGCUGGGCCUCGGAGCAGAAGGAGAAGGUUGGUACGAAGGGCUCAUGCUGCUGGGGGCCCAGAGGCAGCUCAUUAGGGACAGUGGCUUGGCCCCAAACUUCUGUGCACGUCAGAAUCUCCAGGGCACUUGUUACAAACAGGUUCCUGGGCCCCACCCCUGCUAUUCUGGCCCAGGAGGCCUGGGGCGGGCCUGGGAAUCUGCAUUUGUAACAGGGCCCCAGCUGACAGCUGCACAUGGGCUGCAGAUCACACAGACUCUGGAGCCUGACUGUCUGGACAGAAGCCUGCCUCCUCCACUUUCUAGCCAUGCAACCUUGGGUAAGCUAUUUAACGUCUCUGUGCCUCAGUUUCCUCAUCUGUAAAAUGGAGAUGAUAGUAAUUCCCACUUCAUAGGGAUUUUAUGAAGAUUAAAUGAGUUAGCAUGCAUAGUACACCUGCCACGUAGUAAGCACUCGAUACUGUUAUUAGUCCAUUUGGGUGCAUGCUUCAGUACACACAGGGCAGGUUUGCUGCUGAAUGUGGCAGGUGAGUAAUAUGCCUACAGACAGGGGUGCAGAGGAAGGUGCAUGUGAGUGGACCGGGCAGGAGGAUGCUAGAGUGGGCAGGCAGGGGCCUUGCCUUGCGGACCCUGUGGGCCAUGGAAUGCGUGUGUGGGGACCGCAAGGACACGUUGAGCACGACCACAGCAUUCACGACGAUGAGGAUGGUCACCACCAGGAGGAAGGUCAGGUACCUGCCGGGGUGGGUGGACAGGAGGUGGGGCUGGCCCUUCAGCACCCCUUCCCCAGCUGCCACCCCACCCUUAGCAGCUGCCCCCCCCCAGAUCCCUUGGGGUGAGGGACUGGCGUUGAGGAUGGUGGAGGUGGGAGCGGCAGGAGGGCAGUGCCUGGAGUUCCCGAGAAGGGAGAGGAGGAGACGGGCGGCAGGCGUGAGGGCCGGCCUUACUUGCUGAUGAGGGGCACCGCCUGGGAGGUCUCGGGCACCUUCUUGGCCACGAGGAAGAGGAAGACGGUCUGGGCCAGGAGCACGUUGAUGGCAACGGUACACUUCUGGCCACCGGCUGCACGUGACCGAGAGGCCAUCAGAGCAGGUCUCAGCCUCCCCGCUGUGGGACUUACUCCCUGCCCCCCAAGGAGCCCAGUGUCCCUGGUCCUGGGUGAUGGUGCCACCCUGUGCCCUCCCAGCUACCCCCUGUGCUGCCGGCUGGGGCCAUGGCUCCCCUCCCACAGUCUCCAGGUACCCUUGGCAGGAAGGAAGUAGAUGAGGAUGGCAACGGAAGAGAUGAGCACGCAGGGCGCGAUGAUGUUGAUGACGUAGAAUAGGGGCUUGCGCUGGAUGAGCAGGUAGAAGACCACCUUCUGGUGGCCCGCCUCCUCGGCCGGCACUGCCACCUCGUCCAGCAGCAUCUUGGCCGGCCGGUGCCGGAUGGCCCACUCCCCAUUCUCUGUGGGCAGCACGCCAGGGUGGGCACAGGGAGCGUGGGCAGGGCAUAUCCCUGCAGCCCACAUGACCCAGCUGCAGGGCGGCCGACAUAUGCCCGAAGGAGCACCAUGGAGGGAGAGACGCAGCGGGG